rnacentral:rRNA from 1 species
GAUAAACGCUGUCGGCGUGCAUAACACAUGCAAGUCGAACGAUGAAGAUUAUGAAGAUUUCUUCGGAAUGAACUGAAUUGGAUUAGUGGCGGACGGGUGAGUAACGCGUGAGCAACCUGCCUUGUACAAGGGGAUAGCCGUUGGAAACGACGAAUAAUACCCUAUGACAUGAGAUUAUCGCAUGAAAAUAUCAUCAGAGAUUGAUCGGUAUAAGAUGGACUCUCGUCUGAUUAGCUAGUUGGUGGGGUAAAAGCCUACCAAGGCAACGAUCAAUAGCCAGCUUGAGAGAGUGUACGGACACAUUGGGACUGAUACACGGGCCAGACUCCUACGGGAGGCAUCAGUGGGGAAUUUUGCACAAUGGGGGAAACCCUGAUGCAGCGACGCCGCGUGAUUUAGAAGGCCUUCGGGUUGUAAGAAUCUUUUGUAUGGGAAGAAAAUGACAGUACCAUACGAAUAAGGACCGGCUAAUUACGUGCCACCAGCCGCGGUAAUACGUAAGGUCCGAGCGGUGUCCGGAAUCAUUGGGCGUAAAGGGUACGUAGGCGGAUAAGCAAGUGAGAACUUGAAUCCUAUAGCUCAACUAUAGCAAGCUUUUAAAACUGCUCAUCUUGAGGUAUGGAAGGGAAAUUGGAAUUCCUAGUGUAGCGGUGAAAUGCGCAGAUAUUAGCAGCAAUACCGGUGGCGAUGGUGACUUUCUGUCCAUAAACUGACGAUGAGGUACGAAAGCGUGGGUCGCAAACAGGAUUAGAUACCGUGCUAGUCCACGCCGUAAACGAUGAGUGUUAGGUGUCUGGAAUAAUGUGGGUGCCGCAGCUAACGCAUUAAACACUCCGCCUGGGGAGUACGCACGCAAGUGUGAACCUCAAAGGAAUUGACGGGGACCCGCACAAGCAGCGGAGCAUGUGGUUUAAUUCGACGCAACGCGAAGAACCUUACCAAGUCUUGACAUAAUUCGGAAGCUUUUAGAGAUAAGAGCCUACAUCUUCGGAUGACUGUAUUACAGGUGGUGCAUGGUUGUCGUCGGCUCGUGUCGUGAGAUGUUGGGUUAAGUCCCAUAACGAGCGCCACCCUUAUUGUUAGUUACCAUCAUUAAGUUGGGGACUCUAGCAAUCCUCCCGGUGAUAAUCCGGAGGGAGGUGGGGAUGACGUCAAUUCUUCAUGCCCUUUAUGACUUGGGCUACACCCGUGUUCCAAUGGCAGGUCCACAGGGAAGCGAGAUUGUGAAGUUAAGCGAUAUUCAAAAAGCCUGUCCCAGUUCGGAUUGCAUUCUGCAAUUGGAGUGCAUGAAUUGGGAGUUGUUAGUAUUCGUGGAUCAGAAUGCCGCGGUGAAUGCGUUCCCGGGUCU